rnacentral:lncRNA from 1 species
UCUGGAGCCUGGGAAGUCCAAGAUCAACGUACCAGCAGAUUCAGAUGAAGGCGUGUUCUCAGCUUCAUAGGUGGUGCAUUCUUGCUGCUUCUUCACAUGAUGGAAGGAGUGAACAAGCUCCCUUGGGCCUCUUUUACAAAGGUGGAGAGACGAAGGAUCAAGCAAUGUGACUGGUAGAAACUGUGUUAUACAAGCGCUCCAGGACGCAGGUGGCACGCUCAACGCGGGGAGGCGCCACCUACAGGACAGAGGAAGACCUGCAGCUUGGGCUUGAGAUUUCAACAGUCUGUGGCGGGGGCUGAUGAGGGCGGCCCCUCCUCCUCCUGGAGUAAUAAUAGUCCCUGACAUUUAUCGAAUGCUCUUCUCGUGCCAGACACUGUCCUGAGCACUUGACAUGUAUUAAUGAUUUUAAACCUCACAACAACCCUAUUAGCAUUCAACUCUAUGGGCCCUCAAUUCUGCAGCUUUGGUUUACCAUUUUUUGAGACUCGCUUACUCGUCUGGAAAGGAAAUCUUUGCUAAGGUAAUAUGGUACCCAGAGGAACCCAGAGAGAUAACAACCUCUUCUAUUUGUAAAGACCACUUGUGAAGGAAACUCCAUAACCUCCCUGUGGUGGAGUGUAUUAUUGCUCAGCAAACAUUCAUUCUUCUCUAUUUCCCUCCGUUGGGGGAGCAAACUUCCCCACUCCAUUGAUGAUGGGUCUAGCCAUGUGACUUGUUUUAGCCAAUGGAAUGUAAACAGAGGCUUUAACUCUACUUGCUUGGUUAAGCUUGGUCUCUUGCACCUCUACCCUUUGCCACGAGAAGAGCAUGCCCUUGUCACUUCGGCCUGAGUCCCAGAAUGAGAAGUUACAUGGAGCAGACCUGAACAAGAUUCACAACCUGAACAGAAUCACUGCAGCCAAUCCACAAACCUAAAAUUGUCUACAUUCCUGCCUGGGCAUGGUGGCUCAUGCCUGUAAUCCAGCACUUUGGGAGGCCGAGGUGGGCGAGUCACUUGAGUCAGGAGUUCGAGACCAGCCUGGCCAACAUGGUGAAACCCUGCCUCUACUAAAAAUACAAAAAAUUAGCUGAGCAUGGUGGUGCAUGACUGUAAUCCCAGCUACUUGGGAGGCUGGGUCAGGAGAAUCGCUUUAACUGGGAGGUGGAGGUUGCAGUGAGCCAAGAUCACGCCACUGCACUCCAGAGUGGGAAACAGAGCAAGACUCCACCUCAAAAAGAAGAAGGAGAAGGAGAAGGAGAUUAUCUACAUUCCUGAGGAGGAGAAGUUGUACUUAAACUACCUUGAUCCAACUUCCAGCUUUACAAUCAUUGCCCCCCACCAUGCAUAUAUCAUACAUAUAUACCUGCUAGCAUGAAUACCUGCAUCAUAUCUAGAAUUAAUGGGAAUAGUCAUAGGGCCAAUCUUUCUUAUAUCAAGCAAGCUGAACAAGGGUCCAAGGGAUAAGGCCACAGCUACUUCCUCCUGCUUUAGAACAGAGCUAAAUAAACCUGUUCCUAAGUCUUGUGAGUUAUUGCAUCCUUGCCUUAUAAGGAAUGAAGACUUAACCUGCUUCCUGGCAGUCAUUACUAACUGAGUGAAGAUUCCCAUUAAUCCAGAAAUGGGAGCCUCUCUGGCUUGCAUAUGUCCAGGAAUGGACAUACCACCCACAGUUUUACUCCUGGUGGCCAAUCGGUCCCGCACACAAACACAGGCACAUCUUUUAUUUAAUGCUCAAGAUUUGUGAACAACUCCCAGCACUGUGCCUUCCAAAGGGCUUGCAUUAAGUGCUGGUGAAGGAGCAGGGACCUCUAUCAUGGCCAGAGCCAGUCAAUAAUGACACCCUGGCAGCUCUCAAAGGUGCACGAGUGGAAUGGCCAUUGAGCUACUCCAUGCAAUGAAAAGUUCUAAUGGGGAGUGGGGACACUUCUCUCCCCAGUCCCAUCCCAUGGCUUGGCUGAAAAUUUUUUUCUUUUGGGAGAUCACUGGCUUUCUCCAGCAACCUUGACUAUAAGGAUGAGGAUGAGGAGAAAAAAUAAGAACUGCCGAGUGUGGUGGCUCACGCCUGUAAUCCCAGCACUUUGGGAGGCUGAGGUGGGUGGAUCACAAAGUCAGGAGUUCAAAACCAGCCUGGCCAAGAUGGUGAAAUCCCGUUUCUACUAAAAAUACAAAAGAAAAAAAAAUUAGCCAGGCGUGGUGGCGAGUGCCUGUAAUCCCAGCUACUGGUGAGGCUAAGGCAGAGAAUUGCUUGAACCAGGGAGGCAGAGGUCACAGUGAGCCGAGAUCAUGCCACUGCACUCCAGCCUUUGCAACAGAGUGAGACUCUGUCUCAAAAAAAAAAAAAGUACACAGGGGAGGUUGUGGGGAAUUUGGAAUAUUCCCUAAGGAUUUCCUCCAUUGAAGAGGUCUGCUUUAAAGUACUGGGGGUCCACAAACUCACCCCAUUUCCAGCUUGGCCUUGGGAGAAGAGGAGGACAGAGAACAGAAUUCUGGAUUGUUACUAGGUAGUUGGGCUGCAUCAGGAAGACAUUUUGGUAGAAGGAGAGGAAAGAGAGGUAGGAAGUGGGAAGGGAAGCACUAAGGGUUUUUUUUUUGACCCUGAUCCCCUUAGCUAGACAAGCUCAGUGGGGCUUAGGAUGGAGGUCAGGGAUAGCCUAAGAUCCUGUUACUGAAAGGGUAGUCUCCAGCCAGCAGCAUCAGCAUCACCUGGCUCUUAGGCUUCACCCCAGACCUACUGAAUCAGAAACUGCAUUUUAAUCCCUAGGUGAUAAGUAUGUCCAAUAAAAUUUCAGAAGCAUUAGCCUAGAUGCUUCAAUGGGAAUAACUUCUUGCAGUGAGCUAUUGAGGAACUGUGCUGGAUAAUCUCUCUGCCCUUCCAAAUCCACUUGCCAUCCUUAUUCCCCUGCUCUUGGGACUAAGAAGUGAAUUGAUGAAUUCGCUUCCUUUAUUCAUUGCUUCAACAGGCUCCCUUGUCAUCUGGCUUCUGGUUGGGCUCAGCCAAUGGUCAGUGCUCAAGAAGCAGUGACUUAAGUGACAUUAAUAGUGACUUUACCAGCCAGGCAGGGUGGCUCAUGCCUGUAAUCCCAGCACUUUGGGUGGCCAAGACGGGUGGAUCACCUGAGGUCAGGAGUUUGAGACCAGCCUGGCUAACAUGGUGAAAUCCUG